UUUAUGGAGAGUUUGAUCCUGGCUCAGGAUGAACGCUGGCGGCGUGCCUAAUACAUGCAAGUCGAGCGAACGGACGAGAAGCUUGCUUCUCUGAUGUUAGCGGCGGACGGGUGAGUAACACGUGGAUAACCUACCUAUAAGACUGGGAUAACUUCGGGAAACCGGAGCUAAUACCGGAUAAUAUUUUGAACCGCAUGGUUCAAAAGUGAAAGACGGUCUUGCUGUCACUUAUAGAUGGAUCCGCGCUGCAUUAGCUAGUUGGUAAGGUAACGGCUUACCAAGGCAACGAUGCAUAGCCGACCUGAGAGGGUGAUCGGCCACACUGGAACUGAGACACGGUCCAGACUCCUACGGGAGGCAGCAGUAGGGAAUCUUCCGCAAUGGGCGAAAGCCUGACGGAGCAACGCCGCGUGAGUGAUGAAGGUCUUCGGAUCGUAAAACUCUGUUAUUAGGGAAGAACAUAUGUGUAAGUAACUGUGCACAUCUUGACGGUACCUAAUCAGAAAGCCACGGCUAACUACGUGCCAGCAGCCGCGGUAAUACGUAGGUGGCAAGCGUUAUCCGGAAUUAUUGGGCGUAAAGCGCGCGUAGGCGGUUUUUUAAGUCUGAUGUGAAAGCCCACGGCUCAACCGUGGAGGGUCAUUGGAAACUGGAAAACUUGAGUGCAGAAGAGGAAAGUGGAAUUCCAUGUGUAGCGGUGAAAUGCGCAGAGAUAUGGAGGAACACCAGUGGCGAAGGCGACUUUCUGGUCUGUAACUGACGCUGAUGUGCGAAAGCGUGGGGAUCAAACAGGAUUAGAUACCCUGGUAGUCCACGCCGUAAACGAUGAGUGCUAAGUGUUAGGGGGUUUCCGCCCCUUAGUGCUGCAGCUAACGCAUUAAGCACUCCGCCUGGGGAGUACGACCGCAAGGUUGAAACUCAAAGGAAUUGACGGGGACCCGCACAAGCGGUGGAGCAUGUGGUUUAAUUCGAAGCAACGCGAAGAACCUUACCAAAUCUUGACAUCCUUUGACAACUCUAGAGAUAGAGCCUUCCCCUUCGGGGG
rnacentral:rRNA from 1 species